GGCUGGGCCCUGUGCAACAGGCUCCUGUGAACCCCGCCAGGUCCGGAAGGAAGCAACGGUAAGCAGAUCGGUUUGUGUGCCGCAGGAUCACCUAGCCCCG
rnacentral:SRP_RNA from 1 species